rnacentral:rRNA from 1 species
UGGGGAAUUUUGGACAAUGGGCGAAAGCCUGAUCCAGCAAUGCCGCGUGUGUGAAGAAGGCCUUCGGGUUAUAAAGCACUUUUGUCCGGAAAGAAAUCCUUGGCUCUAAUACAGUCGGGGGAUGACGGUACCGGAAGAAUAAGCACCGGCUAACUACGUGCCAGCAGCCGCGGUAAUACGUAGGGUGCAAGCGUUAAUCGGAAUUACUGGGCGUAAAGCGUGCGCAGGCGGUUUGCUAAGACCGAUGUGAAAUCCCCGGGCUCAACCUGGGAACUGCAUUGGUGACUGGCAGGCUAGAGUAUGGCAGAGGGGGGUAGAAUUCCACGUGUAGCAGUGAAAUGCGUAGAGAUGUGGAGGAAUACCGAUGGCGAAGGCAGCCCCCUGGGCCAAUACUGACGCUCAUGCACGAAAGCGUGGGGGAGCAAAACAGGAUUAGAUACCCUGGUAGUCCACGCCCUAAACGAUGUCAACUAGUUGUUGGGGAUUCAUUUCCUUAGUAACGUAGCUAACGCGUGAAGUUGACCGCCUGGGGAGUACGGUCGCAAGAUUAAAACUCAAAUGAAUUGACGGGGUCAUAGCUGUUUCCU